rnacentral:rRNA from 1 species
CGGAGAAGGCUAUGUUGGCCGGGCGACGGUUGUCCCGGUUUAAGCAUGUAGGCGGAUGUUCCAGGUAAAUCCGGAACGUUACUAACGCUGAGGUGUGAUGACGAGGCACUAAGGUGCUGAAGUGACAAAUGCCCUGCUUCCAGGAAAAGCCUCUAAGCAUCAGGUAACACCAAAUCGUACCCCAAACCGACACAGGUGGUCAGGUAGAGAAUACCAAGGCGCUUGAGAGAACUCGGGUGAAGGAACUAGGCAAAAUGGUGCCGUAACUUCGGGAGAAGGCA